CAAAGAAAAAAGAAAGACUCUGUCAACUCGUAACCCAAAUCGCACGAAACGCCUCCUUUCCUCUCUUCUCCUCUUCUCUCUGCUCUAAAUAAUUCAAUUUCAUUCCUCUGAAUUCAACUCCACGCUCUCGCUUUCUCUCUCUCUCUCUCUCAAAACCUCUCUCUCUAAAAAAUGGGUUCGGGCACUAGUCGACUGGGGAGGCGCCCAUCACGGGCCCGACUGAAUCGCAGUACUCGCUCCAGUUUAUUCUCUUCUCUCAUCUGCGGUGGCUCCUCUUCUCGCGCUACUCUUGAGAUGGAAAAUCAUCCAGGUGAAAUUCUGGUGAAUUCUGCAAAACAUUGUGAUCCAGUAACCAGUGAGGUCUGGAAUCUCGCGGAGGAAUCUUCUUUCAUUUCUGGUAUAGGAACAAGCUCUAUCAGCUCUGUUACUGAAACUGGAGCAUCAUCCGGAAGCAGUAUUACAGCCAGUGAGGGAAUCUCUGCUGAAGAUGGUUUGAGAAAUGAUGGAACAAGUAAUCAGGGAAAAUGCUUCUUUGAAAGUAAGGAGUUGGUUUCUCCCUAUCAGGUAAGUGACUAUAGUAGUCAUGAUGAAUCUUGUAGUCAUAGAAGUAUUACUGAAGCUAGUACUUCAUUUAAAGAACAACA
rnacentral:misc_RNA from 1 species